AACUAGUUAAACUCCACCUUGUCAAUUUCCUCAGGCCAAUCAAACUGCAGCUCGUUCUACAAAGGAGCUGUGUUUGGGGCGGGCCUCCUCUUUAGCACAAUCCAAGAUGGCCGCUGCAGAGGACACACCCGCAAGCCCCUGCGUGUUCGUGGAGGUGGGCAGCGGCUCCGGAGCGGUUCGUGGUUUUCUGUGGUCGGACCUUCAGCUCUACCUAUUGUUUUUCUGAUGAUGUUUACUGUCAGGUUGAAUGUUAGAUGAUCAGCUCAGCCAGAACUGCCUCGCCCCGUCAUCACUGACCUGGCAACCUAUGUGUGGUUGAGUGAAAAAGUCACACAAAGUUUUUGUUUUCCAGGCUUUGUGGAUGUCAUCACUCCAUCAGAAGAGUCGUCUGCAUCAAUGUUGAGGUGACUGAAAGUUUCUUCUCUGUGGUUGCUGCUCUCCAGAAGAGGCCACUUUGUCAAGAACAAGGCAGGAGAUCAUGGGCUGGAAGAAGAGACUGUUUCCAUAGAAACCAGCAGAGGUGAAAGACAGAUUCACUUCUCUCUCCAGCCAGUGCAGCUUCCUGAUGGCAUCACCUCUUCAUACAUCAUGUUGUUUCAUUAAAGACAAAUCAAAGUG